rnacentral:rRNA from 1 species
GCUCAGUAACACGUGGGUAACCUAACCUAUGCAGGGGAAUAACCUCGGGAAACUGAGUAUAAUGCCCCAUAGUCCACUACGCCUGGAACGGUGAGUGGAUCAAAGCUCAGGCGGCAUAGGAUGGGCCUGCGGCGUAUCAGGUUGUAGGGGGUGUAAAGUACCCUCUAGCCAUCUACGCGUACGGGUGUUGGGAGACAUAGCCCGGAGAUGGAUUCUGAGACACGAAUCCAGACCCUACGGGGUGCAGCAGGCGCGAAUACUUGACAAUGCGAGCAAUCGUGAUCAGGGAACUCCAAGUGGCUGGGGUAAGACCCAGUCUUUUCAUAACUCUUCAAAGGUUGUAGAAUAAGGGGUGGGUAAGGACGGUGCCAGCCGCCGCGGUAAUACCGGCGCCUCAAGUGGUAGUCGCUUUUAUUGGGCCUAAAACGUCCGUAGCCGGUUUGGUACAUUCGUGGGUAAAUCAGCUCGCUCAACGAGUUGAAUUCUGCGAGGACGGCCAGACUUGGGACCGGGAGAGGUGUGGGGUACUCUCAGGGUAGGGGUAAAAUCCUGUCAUCCUUAGAGGACCACCAGUUGCGAAGGCGCCACACUAGAACGGAUCCGACGGUCAGGGACGAAGCCUAGGGGCACGAACCGGAUUAGAUACCCGGGUAGUCCUAGGUGUAAACGCUGUGAACUUGGUGUCGGGAGUCCGCAAUGGGCCCCCGGGUGCCCGGAGUGAAGAUGUUAAGUUCACUGCCUGGGGAGUACGGUCGCA